GACGAACGCUGGCGGCGUGCUUAACACAUGCAAGUCGAACGAUGAAACCUAGCUUGCUAGGUCGAUUAGUGACGAACGGGUGAGUAACACGUGACUAACCUGCCCCUUUCUCUGGGAUUACGCUCCGAAAGGAGUGCUAAUACCGGAUACUCACACCGAGGCACAUGCCUUGGUGUGGAAAGUUUUUCGGAAAGGGAUGGAGUCGCGGCCUAUCAGCUUGUUGGUGAGGUAACGGCUCACCAAGGCGACGACGGGUAGCCGGCCUGAGAGGGGGACCGGCCACACUGGGACUGAGACACGGCCCAGACUCCUACGGGAGGCAGCAGUGGGGAAUAUUGCACAAUGGGCGCAAGCCUGAUGCAGCGACGCCGCGUGAGGGAUGAAGGUCUUCGGAUUGUAAACCUCUUUCAGUAGGGACGAAGCGAAAGUGACGGUACCUAAAGAAGAAGCACCGGCUAACUACGUGCCAGCCGCCGCUGUAA
rnacentral:rRNA from 1 species